AUUGAACGCUGGCGGCAUGCCUUACACAUGCAAGUCGAACGGCAGCGCGGGGCAACCUGGCGGCGAGUGGCGAACGGGUGAGUAAUAUAUCGGAACAUACCCUAGAGUGGGGGAUAACGUAGCGAAAGUUACGCUAAUACCGCAUACGCACUAAGGUGGAAAGUGGGGGAUUCGCAAGAACCUCAUGCUCAUGGAGUGGCCGAUAUCUGAUUAGCUAGUUGGUGAGGUAAAGGCUCACCAAGGCGACGAUCAGUAGCUGGUUUGAGAGAACGACCAGCCACACUGGAACUGAGACACGGUCCAGACUCCUACGGGAGGCAGCAGUGGGGAAUUUUGGACAAUGGGGGCAACCCUGAUCCAGCAAUGCCGCGUGAGUGAAGAAGGCCUUAGGGUUGUAAAGCUCUUUUACCCGGGAUGAUAAUGACAGUACCGGGAGAAUAAGCUCCGGCUAACUCCGUGCCAGCAGCCGCGGUAAU
rnacentral:rRNA from 1 species